rnacentral:misc_RNA from 1 species
UGAAUUACUUGAGAUAUAUAAUAUCGUUCUAAGUUAUUCUCACAUUUAUUGAUGUGUUGCUAUCUAUUAUGGAGUACCUAAAUGGUGACAAAAUCCAAUUUUUUUAGACAAUUUUGACUAUUAUGCACUCCUUUUUGUUUUGGCCACAUUCCAUGGGGGCCGGAUGGCAGCUGAGGUUCCUGAGACUAAGAAGCUUUUUGGGGGCAAAAAAUUACGAUCUAUGUUACUUUGAUUUUCUAUUGUGCUGCAAAAGAGCAGCUUUUAAUGUUUGAAUUUUAUUUACUUCUGCUUGAACAUAUUCUAUAGUCUAAUUUGCUAAACCUACUCAUGGACUUUAGACCUAAAGAGAGAAAUUUUUAAAAGUGCUUAUGGGGAAAUUGUUUGAGAGUUCUUAUUUUAGAUAGGAACUUG